rnacentral:rRNA from 1 species
UACAGAGGUCUCAAGCGUUGUUCGGAUUCAUUGGGCGUAAAGGGUGCGUAGGCGGUAGCACAAGUCAGUUGUGAAAUCUCCGGGCUUAACUCGGAAAGGUCAACUGAUACUGUGCGACUAGAGUGCAGAAGGGGCAACUGGAAUUCUCGGUGUAGCGGUGAAAUGCGUAGAUAUCGAGAGGAACACCUGCGGCGAAGGCGGGUUGCUGGGCUGACACUGACGCUGAGGCGCGAAAGCCAGGGGAGCGAACGGG